rnacentral:rRNA from 1 species
GACGAACGCUGGCGGCGUGCCUAAUACAUGCAAGUAGAACGCUGAAGCGAGGAGCUUACUCUUCUUGGAUGAGUUGCGAACGGGUGAGUAACGCGUCGGUAACCUGCCUUGUAGCGGGGGAUCACUAUUGGAAACGAUAGCUAAUACCGCAUAACAAUGGAUGACACAUGUCAUUUAUUUGAAAGGGGCAAUUGCUCCACUACAAGAUGGACCUGCGUUGUAUUAGCUAGUAGGUGAGGUAAUGGCUCACCUAGGCGACGAUACAUAGCCGACCUGAGAGGGUGAUCGGCCACACUGGGACUGAGAAACGGCCCAGACACCCUCGGCAGGCAGGACGAUGGAACGUUCGGGAAUUGGGUCAAGCCUCACCGAGCUAAGCCGCCAGAGUGAAGAAGGGGUUCGGUGCGUGUGUCCCGGUUGUAAAGCAAGAGCGGGGAGGUCGGGGGAAGGUCCAUGCACUGACGGUAGCUUAUGAGAAAGAGAAGUCUAACUACGUG